UUCCGGUUGAUCCUGCCGGACCCCACUGCUAUCGGGAUGAGACUAAGACAUGCUAGUCGAGCGCUUUCAGGCUAUGUUGAGAGCGCGGCGCACAGCUCAGUAACACGUGGCUAACCUGCCCUUGGGAUAGGUAUACCCCCGGGAAACUGGGGCUAAUCCCCAAUAGGUGAAGGCUCCUGGAAUGGAUCUUCACCCGAAAAGGACCUAGAUCAUGCUUCUAGGCGACGCCCAAGGAUGGGGCCGCGUCCGAUCAGGUUGUUGGUGAGGUAAUGGCCCACCAAGCCUUUUACCGGUGCGGGCCGUGAGAGCGGGAGCCCGGAGAUGGGCACUGAGACAAGGGCCCAGGCCCUACGGGGCGCAGCAGUCGCGAAACCUUUGCAAUACACGAAAGUGUGACAGGGCCAUCCCGAGUGCCGACCGCUGAGGUUGGCUUUUAUCCAGUCUAGACAGCUGGAAGAAUAAGGAGAGGGCAAGUCUGGUGUCAGCCGCCGCGGUAAUACCAGCUCUCCGAGUGGUGUGGACGUUUAUUGGGCCUAAAGCAUCCGUAGCUGGCUGGACAAGUCCCCUGUUAAACCCACCGAUUUAAUCGUUGGCUUGCGGGGGAAACUGUUCGGCUAGGGGACGGUAGAGGCAGACGGUAUUCCCGGGGUAGGAGUGAAAUCCUAUAAUCCCGAGAAGACCACCAGUGGCGAAGGCUGUCUGCUAGAACGCGCCCGACGGUGAGGGAUGAAAGCUGGGGGAGCGAACCGGAUUAGAUACCCGGGUAGUCCCAGCUGUAAACGAUGCAGGCUAGGUGUUUGGACGGCCACGUGCCGUUCUAGUGCCGCAGGGAAGCUGUUAAGCCUGCCGCCUGGGGAGUACGAUCGCAAGAUUGAAACUUAAAGGAAUUGGCGGGGGAGCACCACAAGGGGUGAAGCUUGCGGUUUAAUUGGAUUCAACGCCGGG
rnacentral:rRNA from 1 species